UUAAAGGGCUGCAGUAUUUUGACUGUACAAAGGUAGCAUAAUCAUUAGUCUCUUAAUUGGUGACUUGUAUGAAAGAUUGGAUGAGAUAUAAACUGUCUUAUUUUUAUUUAUAGAAUUUAAUUUUUUAAUUAAAAAGUUAAAAUUUUUUUAAAAGACGAGAAGACCCUAUAGAGUUUUAUAUAUAAUUAAUUAAAAAUUUUUUUAUUAAUAUUAAAUUUAAAUUAAGAAAUAUAUUUUGUUGGGGUGAUAGAAAAAUAAAAAUAACUUUUUUUAUAUUAUAUUUAUUUAAUUUAUAAAUUAAAAUGAAUAAUUUACAUUAAUAUUUGAAUAAAUGAUCCAUAAAUUAUGAUUAAAAGAUUAAAUUACCUUAGGGAUAACAGCGUAAUUUUUUUUUUUAGUUCAAAUAAGAAAAAAAGUUUGCGACCUCGAUGUUGGAUUAAGAUAAAAUUUAAAUGCAAAAGUUUAAAAUUUUGAUCUGUUCGAUCAUUAAAAUCUUACGUGAUCUGAGUUCA
rnacentral:rRNA from 1 species